GGACUUCCGCAAUGGACGAAAGUCUGACGGAGCACGCCGCGUGAGUGAUGAAGGUUUUCGGAUCGUAAAACUCUGUUGUUAGGGAAGAACAAGUANCGGAGUAACUGCCGGUACCUUGACGGUACCUAACCAGAAAGCCACGGCUAACUACGUGCCAGCAGCCGCGGUAAUACGUAGGUGGCAAGCGUUGUCCGGAAUUAUUGGGCGUAAAGCGCGCGCAGGCGGUUCCUUAAGUCUGAUGUGAAAGCCCACGGCUCAACCGUGGAGGGUCAUUGGAAACUGGGGAACUUGAGUGCAGAAGAGAAGAGCGGAAUUCCACGUGUAGCGGUGAAAUGCGUAGAGAUGUGGAGGAACACCAGUGGCGAAGGCGGCUCUUUGGUCUGUAACUGACGCUGAGGCGCGAAAGCGUGGGGAGCAAACAGGAUUAGAUACCCUGGUAGUCCACGCCGUAAACGAUGAGUGCUAAGUGUUAGAGGGUUUCCGCCCUUUAGUGCUGCAGCAAACGCAUUAAGCACUCCGCCUGGGGAGUACGGCCGCAAGGCUGAAACUCAAAGGAAUUGACGGGGGCCCGCACAAGCGGUGGAGCAUGUGGUUUAAUUCGAAGC
rnacentral:rRNA from 2 species